CUACGGGAGGCAGCAGUGGGGAAUAUUGCACAAUGGGCGAAAGCCUGAUGCAGCAACGCCGCGUGAACGAUGAAGGUCUUCGGAUCGUAAAGUUCUGUUGCAGGGGAAGAUAAUGACGGUACCCUGUGAGGAAGCCCCGGCUAACUACGUGCCAGCAGCCGCGGUAAUACGUAGGGGGCUAGCGUUAUCCGGAUUUACUGGGCGUAAAGGGUGCGUAGGUGGUCCUUCAAGUCGGUGGUUAAAGGCUACGGCUCAACCGUAGUAAGCCGCCGAAACUGGAGGACUUGAGUGCAGGAGAGGAAAGUGGAAUUCCCAGUGUAGCGGUGAAAUGCGUAGAUAUUGGGAGGAACACCAGUAGCGAAGGCGGCUUUCUGGACUGCAACUGACACUGAGGCACGAAAGCGUGGGUAGCAAACAGGAUUAGAUACCCUGGUAGUCCACGCUGUAAACGAUGAGUACUAGGUGUCGGGGGUUACCCCCCUCGGUGCCGCAGCUAACGCAUUAAGUACUCCGCCUGGGGAGUACGCACGCAAGUGUGAAACUCAAAGGAAUUGACGGGGACCCGCACAAGUAGCGGAGCAUGUGGUUUAAUUCGAAGCAACGCGAAGAACCUUACCUAAGCUUGACAUCCCUCGGACAGGUGUUUAAUCACACCCUUCCUUCGGGACUGAGGUGACAGGUGGUGCAUGGUUGUCGUCAGCUCGUGUCGUGAGAUGUUGGGUUAAGUCCCGCAACGAGCGCAACCCUUGUCUUUAGUUGCCAGCAUUCAGUUGGGCACUCUAGAGAGACUGCCAGGGAUAACCUGGAGGAAGGUGGGGAUGACGUCAAAUCAUCAUGCCCCUUAUGCUUAGGGCUACACACGUGCUACAAUGGGUGGUACAGAGGGUUGCCAAACCGUGAGGUGGAGCCAAUCCCUUAAAGCCAUUCUCAGUUCGGAUUGUAGGCUGAAACUCGCCUACAUGAAGCUGGAGUUACUAGUAAUCGCAGAUCAGAAUGCUGCGGUGAAUGCGUUCCCGGGUCUUGUACACACCGCCCGUCACACCAUGGAAGUUG
rnacentral:rRNA from 1 species